GUGUGUUUGUGUGUUGCAUGGUUCUAGAUUUUUAUUAAACGGCUCAAACGGGGUCCAACAGACAAACCAUACCAUGGAAGAAACUAUAAGCAAUUCAAUUCUAAUUGGCCAAAAGGGCAGCUCUUAUGGCAUCUUUUAUCAUUUACAACAUAGGGAAAGAUAACAUUUCACCAGGGCUGCAUUGAAUUU